UUUUUGAAGAAAUGUAAACGAAGAAUAUUUAUUAAGCUACGAUUAUAUUAAAUGAAUCGCAAGAGGUCUACUGAGCUCUUCGUCUUUAGCAAAGUUCAUAUCUCCCUAGUCGUAGGAGUUCUAACUGGCCAUUGACUCAUCGGGAUCCACAUUGUUAGGUUAAAAAUCUUAGGGGAUGCUAGCUGUAGAAGUGACCUGGAAGACGACGACGUGGAAUCAUCUAAUUAAGAUAAAGAUUUCUUGGACGUCACUUUUUUUGAACAACCGCGCAAACUAAGUGAUAUAGAAGAAGAAUGUUGAGUCUUAAUAUCUAAUCAAGGAAGGGAUCCUGGCUUCACAAAGGACUGUCUCUCAUAGUCUAACAAGACCUAACCUCCAAAAGAACACAAUAGAAUUGGUUCGCGAGAUAUAGCAAUAUGAGUAAUGCCAGUUUCGUUUUUGCUUAAUAAAGGAAUAAAAAGGAUGGUAGAAGAAAGUAAAGAAGGAAGUGUGUUAUGGAAUGCACAUUAUUUAGAGAAGAAAAAAUAACAAGCAACAUCGCGUCUUCGGAAUACGUUAAAAAGUAAAUGCAUAAGAAGAAACUAACUGCAUUUCGCUCAUAAACCUGUCGCGAUAACUGCCUGUCACCGUUACACCGCACAGCUAGUAUGUAUUAGCCAUGAUGUCACAGAAAGCGUAAUUAGCUGCAACUUUUUUCAGUUAACAAUUUGCAAAUGCCUGACGUAAAUAAAUAAAUUCCUUACUUGCUGCAAAAAAA